UCCCUGGUGGCCGAGUGGUUAAGGAUCCACACUGUCACUGCUGUGGCUCAGGUUCAGUCCCUGGCUUGGGAC
rnacentral:tRNA from 1 species